GGAGUUAGCCGGUGCUUCUUCUGUGAGUGAUGUCCUUCCUGCCGGUUAUUGACCCGCAGGCCUUCUUCCUCACUGAAAGUGCUUUACAACCCGAAGGCCUUCUUCACACACGCGGCAUGGCUGGAUCAGGGUUGCCCCCAUUGUCCAAUAUUCCCCACUGCUGCCUCCCGUAGGAGUCUGGGCCGUGUCUCAGUCCCAGUGUGGCUGAUCAUCCUCUCAGACCAGCUACGGAUCGUCGCCUUGGUGAGCCGUUACCUCACCAACCAGCUAAUCCGACAUAGGCUCAUCCGAUAGCGCGAGGCCCGAAGGUCCCCCGCUUUCCCCCGUAGGGCGUAUGCGGUAUUAGCCUGGGUUUCCCCAGGUUAUCCCCCACUACCGGGCAGAUUCCUAUGCAUUACUCACCCGUCCGCCGCUCGCCACCAGGGAGCAAGCUCCCCGUGCUGCCGCUCGACUUGCAUGUGUUAGGCCUGCCGCCAGCGUUCAAUCUGAACCAAGAUCAAAUCUGA
rnacentral:rRNA from 1 species